rnacentral:rRNA from 1 species
AUUGAACGCUGGCGGCAUGCCUUACACAUGCAAGUCGAACGGUAACAGGUCUUCGGAUGCUGACGAGUGGCGAACGGGUGAGUAAUACAUCGGAACGUGCCCGAUCGUGGGGGAUAACGAGGCGAAAGCUUUGCUAAUACCGCAUACGAUCUACGGAUGAAAGCGGGGGAUCUUCGGACCUCGCGCGGACGGAGCGGCCGAUGGCAGAUUAGGUAGUUGGUGGGAUAAAAGCUUACCAAGCCGACGAUCUGUAGCUGGUCUGAGAGGAUGAUCAGCCACACUGGGACUGAGACGCGGCCCAGACUCCUACGGGAGGCAGCAGUGGGGAAUUUUGGACAAUGGGCGAAAGCCUGAUCCAGCCAUGCCGCGUGCAGGAUGAAGGCCUUUGGGUUGUAAACUGCUUUUGUACGGAACGAAAAGCCUCUUUCUAAUAAAGAGGGGUCAUGACGGUACCGUAAGAAUAAGCACCGGCCAACUACGUG